AUUCAGUGGCGAACGGGUGAGUAACGCGUGGAUGAUCUACCUAUGAGAUGGGGAUAACUAUUAGAAAUAGUAGCUAAUACCGAAUAAGGUCAGUUAAUUUGUUAAUUGAUGAAAGGAAGCCUUUAAAGCUUCGCUUGUAGAUGAGUCUGCGUCUUAUUAGCUAGUUGGUAGGGUAAAUGCCUACCAAGGCAAUGAUAAGUAACCGGCCUGAGAGGGUGAACGGUCACACUGGAACUGAGAUACGGUCCAGACUCCUACGGGAGGCAGCAGCUAAGAAUCUUCCGCAAUGGGCGAAAGCCUGACGGAGCGACACUGCGUGAAUGAAGAAGGUCGAAAGAUUGUAAAAUUCUUUUAUAAAUGAGGAAUAAGCUUUGUAGGAAAUGACAAAGUGAUGACGUUAAUUUAUGAAUAAGCCCCGGCUAAUUACGUGCCAGCAGCCGCGGUAAUACGUAAGGGGUGAGUUUUUGU
rnacentral:rRNA from 1 species